ACAAGGUUUCCGUAGGUGAACCUGCGGAAGGAUCAUUAUUGAAAUAAACCUGAUAGGUUGUUGCUGGUUCUUUCGGGAGCAUGUGCACACUUGUCAUUUUUAUAUCUCCACCUGUGCACCUUUUGUAAAUCUGAAUAUCUUUCUGAAUGCCUCGCAUUCAGGUUUGAGGAUUGAUCUUUUCUUUCCUUACACUUUCAGGUUUAUGUUUUUCAUAUACCCCAAAGUAUGUUAUAGAAUGUUAUAAAAGGGCCUUUGUGCCUAUAAAUUUAUACAACUUUCAGCAACGGAUCUCUUGGCUCUCGCAUCGAUGAAGAACGCAGCGAAAUGCGAUAAGUAAUGUGAAUUGCAGAAUUCAGUGAAUCAUCGAAUCUUUGAACGCACCUUGCGCUCCUUGGUAUUCCGAGGAGCAUGCCUGUUUGAGUGUCAUUAAUAUAUCAACCUCUUCAAGCUUUUUGCAUGUUGAGUGUUGGAUGUGGGGGUAUUUUUUGCUGGACUUUAGAAUCUGAGGUCAGCUCCCCUAAAAUGCAUCAGCGAAACAAUUUGUUUACCGCUCAUUGGUGUGAUAACUAUCUACGCUAUUGACGGUGAAAGCACGUUUAGCUCCUAACAGUCCAUUAACUUGGACAACCUCUUAUUAAUGUGACCUCAAAUCAGGUAGGACUACCCGCUGAACUUAAGCAUAUCAAUAAGCGGAGGAAAAGAAACUAACAAGGAUUCCCCUAGUAACUGCGAGUGAAGCGGGAAAAGCUCAAAUUUAAAAUCUGGCAGUCUUUGGCUGUC
rnacentral:rRNA from 1 species